rnacentral:rRNA from 1 species
UACGUAGGGUGCGAGCGUUAAUCGGAAUUACUGGGCGUAAAGCGUGCGCAGGCGGUUCAUUAUGUCCGAUGUGAAAGCCCCGAGCUCAACUUGGGAAUGGCAUUGGAAACUGGCGGGCUGGAGUGUGGCAGAGGGGGGUGGAAUUCCUGGUGUAGCGGUGAAAUGCGCAGAUAUCAGGAGGAACACCGAUGGCGAAGGCAGGUCUCUGGGCAUUAACUGACGCUGAGGAGCGAAAGCAUGGGGAGCGAACAGG